rnacentral:tRNA from 1 species
GGUUGAUUAGCUUAAUUGAAUAAAGCAUCCCUCUCCUAAAGGGAAGAGUAUGGGUUUGAGUCCCAUAUCAACCA